rnacentral:snRNA from 14 species
GUUCAGGAGCACCGGCUUUACGCAUAGCAGUGAAGAUUCGUCUUAGCUUGCGUUUUUGCUAGCUGAAAACUAUCAGGUGCUUGCUAUCUGCCUUCAAUGAGCAUGAAAGCCAUGGCCUGCUUUGCGUGAGCUCCUGCAGUUGUUCUUUGAGCAAGCAUUGGCUU